rnacentral:rRNA from 1 species
UACGAGGGGGGCGAGCGUUGUUCGGAAUUAUUGGGCGUAAAGGGUGCGUAGGCGGUUCCGCAAGUCCUGUGUGAAAUCUUCGGGCUCAACUCGAAGUCUGCACGGGGAAACUGCGGGGGCUUGAGUGUGGGAGAGGUGAGUGGAAUUCCCGGGUGUAGCGGUGAAAUGCGUAGAUAUCGGGAGGAACACCUGUGGCGAAAGCGGCUCACUGGACCUAACUG